UGGCUCUGUAUGGUUCCCAGCACA
rnacentral:misc_RNA from 1 species